GAUGAACGCUGGCGGCGUGCCUAAUACAUGCAAGUCGAGCGAAUGGAUUAAGAGCUUGCUCUUAUGAAGUUAGCGGCGGACGGGUGAGUAACACGUGGGUAACCUGCCCAUAAGACUGGGAUAACUCCGGGAAACCGGGGCUAAUACCGGAUAACAUUUUGAACCGCAUGGUUCGAAAUUGAAAGGCGGCUUCGGCUGUCACUUAUGGAUGGACCCGCGUCGCAUUAGCUAGUUGGUGAGGUAACGGCUCACCAAGGCCACGAUGCGUAGCCGACCUAGGAGGGUGAUCGACCACACUGGGACUGAGACACGGCCCAGACGCAUACGGGAGGCAGCAGUAGGGAAUCUUCCGAAAUGGACGAAAGUCUGACGGAGCAACGCCCCGUGAGUGAUGAAGGCUUUCGGGUCGUAAAACUCUGUUGUUAGGGAAGAACAAGUGCUAGUUGAAUAAGCUGGCACCUUGACGGUACCUAACCAGAAAGCCACGGCUAACUACGUGCCAGCCGCCGCAGUAA
rnacentral:rRNA from 1 species